rnacentral:rRNA from 1 species
UACAGAGGGAGCAAGCGUUGUCCGGAAUUAUUGGGCGUAAAGAGCUCGUAGGCGGUUUGUUGCGUCGGCUGUGAAAUCCCGAGGCUCAACCUCGGGUCUGCAGUCGAUACGAGCAAACUAGAGUGUUGCAGGGGAGACUGGAAUUCCUGGUGUAGCGGUGAAAUGCGCAGAUAUCAGGAGGAACACCGGUGGCGAAGGCGGCUUGCUGGGCCAGUUCUGACGCUGAGGAGCGAAAGCGUGGGGAGCGAACAGG